UUCGCUUCUCUGCCUUUCGGCUAAGAUCAAGCGAUAGUAUCAGGUUUAAUAUCCGAUACGUCCUCUAUACAAGGACGACAUAUUAAAUUGAUUUUUAGAACAGGGAGACGGAAGAGGGGCUUGCUCUGUCUGCUCCAUGCAUCAACCUGGUAUUGCAGUACCUCCGGGAACAGUGCACCUCUU